UCGCCUGCAUGAAGUCGGAAUUGCUAGUAAUCGCAGAUCAGCAUGCUGCGGUGAAUACGUUCCCGGGCCUUGUACACACCGCCCGUCACACCAUGGGAGUCGGUAACACCCAAAGUUGGUAGCCUAACCGCAAGGAGGGCGCCGCCUAAGGUGGGAUUGAUGACUGGGGUGAAGUCGUAACAAGGUAUC
rnacentral:rRNA from 1 species